UUGAAUAAAUAACUAAUACAUGACAGCAGAGCUAAGGGUACUUUAGAAUGACAUUAAAUUAUCUUCAUUUUUUUGUCUUUGCUUUAAAGUGAAAAUCCAUUCCCGUUGAUCACGAAUCAUAUUGUACACCCAUCACGACCAUCUUUUUAAAAGCAACGCGCACAGUCUCCAAGCCACCAGUCGUUUUUGGACGUGGUGUUGUGGACAACUUGCACAGUUCGACUCGAGAUCAGUGGUGACACGGGAGGUAUCUGGUUCUGCGCAGUAACGAUAAGGCGGAUUUUUGUUCUUCAACGUGCACGGAUGGUAUAGCCGAAGCCUACGAAUAUGGUGAGCGUAAUCUUCUUUCGCAGUGACCGCCUGGGCCGGACUUUCUCAUUCGGCUCUGCAACAAGUGGGCUCAGUUAAGAGUUUGUCAGCGUCUUAAACUGUAUACUUAGUUGUUUAGCUGUAGCAAUAAGCUAUAGACAGAUGAAGAUGGCAAGCUUCAAGAGGAGCUACGCGCAUUUGACUUCCAGUAGCUUUAAGUUAGGCUUAACUGAGCCCGCAUUCUGUACGUCACAGCACCACCGAUUGUAACUGCUCACGCAGUUGGGCUGUGACGGACGGAAUGUUUUCUUUUUCUUACGUCAACUGAAGAGGAACUGCUCGUUUCAGUUCGUAAGCCAAAUGGGUGUUACGACAAAGGUAAGCUAUAAACUUCUGUAUCCACCUUCGAUUCCAAUUCCAUCGUGGUUAGGGCUAGCUUACGGUCGCGCCGCUAUAGGUGUAUAAUUCGCUGGGAAAUUUAUCUGUUCGGCUUUGUUUGUAACUCGGUCACUUUUGUUAAUAAAAUGGUGUUUGUCUGUUUCUUUACUCGUACCCCCUUGACGCAAACAUGCACUAGCUUAUUGGUUGAUAGGCAGGUACAUUUUGGCUGCCCCCUUUGCCUCGUUGUCCUUUUGCUUAGUCAUCUUGGUAGUUUUGUAUGUCUUGUAUUUGCCCACAAUUUCAAUAAAGUCUCUCUUCCGUAUCUCGACUUUCAUCAAUCCCUGAUACGCAAACAUGCACUAGCUUACUAGUUGAGGUAGGUACAUUUUCACUGCUCCCUUUCCCUUGCAGAGACUGCAGCUUCCUUUCGCCGGUUCAUGAGAGGUCGUCAGGCAAUGACAUGGAACCUCGUCAAGUAUCUUUCACUUUGUUCUGUUAACGAUACUGGCUAAUUCCUCGUUUCUUUCUGCAGGUACUGUUCCCUACAAGGUGGAGACAAGGGGGCGCAAGAAGCAUUUUGUGUACUGUUUCCUUUAUUGCUAUUCCUUGUUGCAAAAUAAACCUGUUUCCUUGA